UACGGAGGGUGCGAGCGUUGUCCGGAAUCACUGGGCGUAAAGGGCUCGUAGGUGGCCAACUAAGUCAGACGUGAAAUCCCUCGGCUUAACCGGGGAACUGCGUCUGAUACUGGAUGGCUUGAGUUCGGGAGAGGGAUGCGGAAUUCCAGGUGUAGCGGUGAAAUGCGUAGAUAUCUGGAGGAACACCGGUGGCGAAGGCGGCAUCCUGGACCGACACUGACACUGAGGAGCGAAAGCCAGGGGAGCAAACGGG
rnacentral:rRNA from 1 species